GACGAACGCUGGCGGCGUGCUUAACACAUGCAAGUCGAGCGGUAAGGCCCCUUCGGGGGUACACGAGCGGCGAACGGGUGAGUAACACGUGGGUGACCUGCCCUCAGCUCUGGGAUAAGCCUGGGAAACUGGGUCUAAUACCGGAUAUGACUCCAUGACGCAUGUCGUGGGGUGGAAAGUCCUUGUGCGGCUGGGGGAUGGGCCCGCGGCCUAUCAGCUUGGUUGGUGGGGUGAUGGCCUACCAAGGCGACGACGGGUAGCCGGCCUGAGAGGGCGACCGGACAC
rnacentral:rRNA from 1 species